rnacentral:tmRNA from 1 species
CUCAAGAAGUCUGUAAUGAGUAACGAAAACUAAACAGGCUGGUUCUUGAAUAGUUCUGAUUGCCUUUCUUGAGAGAAUGAGAAAUAAAAGACAACUAAACAUGUAGAUUUGCUUUUUGGCCGUUCUUUGGACGCGGGUUCGAUUCCCGCCACCUCCACCA